GGUUAAGCGACUAAGCGUACACGGUGGAUGCCCUGGCAGUCAGAGGCGAUGAAGGACGUGCUAAUCUGCGAUAAGCGUCGGUAAGGUGAUAUGAACCGUUAUAACCGGCGAUUUCCGAAUGGGGAAACCCAGUGUGAUUCGUCACACUAUCAUUAACUGAAUCCAUAGGUUAAUGAGGCGAACCGGGGGAACUGAAACAUCUAAGUACCCCGAGGAAAAGAAAUCAACCGAGAUUCCCCCAGUAGCGGCGAGCGAACGGGGAGCAGCCCAGAGCCUGAAUCAGUGUGUGUGUUAGUGGAAGCGUCUGGAAAGGCGCGCGAUACAGGGUGACAGCCCCGUACACAAAAAUGCACAUACUGUGAGCUCGAUGAGUAGGGCGGGACACGUGGUAUCCUGUCUGAAUAUGGGGGGACCAUCCUCCAAGGCUAAAUACUCCUGACUGACCGAUAGUGAACCAGUACCGUGAGGGAAAGGCGAAAAGAACCCCGGCGAGGGGAGUGAAAAAGAACCUGAAACCGUGUACGUACAAGCAGUGGGAGCCUCUUUUAUGGGGUGACUGCGUACCUUUUGUAUAAUGGGUCAGCGACUUAUAUUCUGUAGCAAGGUUAACCGAAUAGGGGAGCCGAAGGGAAACCGAGUCUUAACCGGGCGUUAAGUUGCAGGGUAUAGACCCGAAACCCGGUGAUCUAGCCAUGGGCAGGUUGAAGGUUGGGUAACACUAACUGGAGGACCGAACCGACUAAUGUUGAAAAAUUAGCGGAUGACUUGUGGCUGGGGGUGAAAGGCCAAUCAAACCGGGAGAUAGCUGGUUCUCCCCGAAAGCUAUUUAGGUAGCGCCUCGUGAAUUCAUCUCCGGGGGUAGAGCACUGUUUCGGCAAGGGGGUCAUCCCGACUUACCAACCCGAUGCAAACUGCGAAUACCGGAGAAUGUUAUCACGGGAGACACACGGCGGGUGCUAACGUCCGUCGUGAAGAGGGAAACAACCCAGACCGCCAGCUAAGGUCCCAAAGUCAUGGUUAAGUGGGAAACGAUGUGGGAAGGCCCAGACAGCCAGGAUGUUGGCUUAGAAGCAGCCAUCAUUUAAAGAAAGCGUAAUAGCUCACUGGUCGAGUCGGCCUGCGCGGAAGAUGUAACGGGGCUAAACCAUGCACCGAAGCUGCGGCAGCGACACUGUGUGUUGUUGGGUAGGGGAGCGUUCUGUAAGCCUGUGAAGGUGUACUGUGAGGUAUGCUGGAGGUAUCAGAAGUGCGAAUGCUGACAUAAGUAACGAUAAAGCGGGUGAAAAGCCCGCUCGCCGGAAGACCAAGGGUUCCUGUCCAACGUUAAUCGGGGCAGGGUGAGUCGACCCCUAAGGCGAGGCCGAAAGGCGUAGUCGAUGGGAAACAGGUUAAUAUUCCUGUACUUGGUGUUACUGCGAAGGGGGGACGGAGAAGGCUAUGUUGGCCGGGCGACGGUUGUCCCGGUUUAAGCGUGUAGGCUGGUUUUCCAGGCAAAUCCGGAAAAAUCAAGGCUGAGGCGUGAUGACGAGGCACUACGGUGCUGAAGCAACAAAUGCCCUGCUUCCAGGAAAAGCCUCUAAGCAUCAGGUAACAUCAAAUCGUACCCCAAACCGACACAGGUGGUCAGGUAGAGAAUACCAAGGCGCUUGAGAGAACUCGGGUGAAGGAACUAGGCAAAAUGGUGCCGUAACUUCGGGAGAAGGCACGCUGAUAUGUAGGUGAAGUCCCUCGCGGAUGGAGCUGAAAUCAGUCGAAGAUACCAGCUGGCUGCAACUGUUUAUUAAAAACACAGCACUGUGCAAACACGAAAGUGGACGUAUACGGUGUGACGCCUGCCCGGUGCCGGAAGGUUAAUUGAUGGGGUCAGCGCAAGCGAAGCUCUUGAUCGAAGCCCCGGUAAACGGCGGCCGUAACUAUAACGGUCCUAAGGUAGCGAAAUUCCUUGUCGGGUAAGUUCCGACCUGCACGAAUGGCGUAAUGAUGGCCAGGCUGUCUCCACCCGAGACUCAGUGAAAUUGAACUCGCUGUGAAGAUGCAGUGUACCCGCGGCAAGACGGAAAGACCCCGUGAACCUUUACUAUAGCUUGACACUGAACAUUGAGCCUUGAUGUGUAGGAUAGGUGGGAGGCUUUGAAGUGUGGACGCCAGUCUGCAUGGAGCCGACCUUGAAAUACCACCCUUUAAUGUUUGAUGUUCUAACGUGGACCCGUGAUCCGGGUUGCGGACAGUGUCUGGUGGGUAGUUUGACUGGGGCGGUCUCCUCCUAAAGAGUAACGGAGGAGCACGAAGGUUGGCUAAUCCUGGUCGGACAUCAGGAGGUUAGUGCAAUGGCAUAAGCCAGCUUGACUGCGAGCGUGACGGCGCGAGCAGGUGCGAAAAGCAGGUCAUAGUGAUCCGGUGGUUCUGAAUGGAAGGGCCAUCGCUCAACGGAUAAAAGGUACUCCGGGGAUAACAGGCUGAUACCGCCCAAGAGUUCAUAUCGACGGCGGUGUUUGGCACCUCGAUGUCGGCUCAUCACAUCCUGGGGCUGAAGUAGGUCCCAAGGGUAUGGCUGUUCGCCAUUUAAAGUGGUACGCGAGCUGGGUUUAGAACGUCGUGAGACAGUUCGGUCCCUAUCUGCCGUGGGCGCUGGAGAACUGAGGGGGCUGCUCCUAGUACGAGAGGACCGGAGUGGACGCAUCACUGGUGUUCGGGUUGUCAUGCCAAUGGCACUGCCCGGUAGCUAAAUGCGGAAGAGAUAAGUGCUGAAAGCAUCUAAGCACGAAACUUGCCCCGAGAUGAGUUCUCCCUGACCCUUUAAGGGUCCUGAAGGAACGUUGAAGACGACGACGUUGAUAGGCCGGGUGUGUAAGCGCAGCGAUGCGUUGAGCUAACCGGUACUAAUGAACCGUGAGGCUUAACCUU
rnacentral:rRNA from 1 species